rnacentral:lncRNA from 1 species
GUUGUUACUAAGGCAGCAGAGUAGAAAGAUGAAGUGCAAGGACCUGGAAAUCAGACACACCUGGGUUCCUGGUGAGCUUCACUGCUUCCUGGUCUCUGAUAUCAGCUCUGCCCAAAUUUCAGCUGUCACAGAAUGAGUGAUCCUCAUAGUAUAAUGGAAAUGCAUCAUCUCAGUUUCCCCAUGGCCUGAAUGUCCAUACAAAAUGAGAGCCAGUAGAGAAAAACAGAGGACGUGAGGAGUUUUUAAAAAUUGAGGAAAAGUGGAAGGAAAAGUAAGGAUGAAGGUGAAGAUGAAGGAAUAUGUCAGAGAUGCUAGCACUGGCAUCCCCCACCACACAGUACCAUGUACUGCUAAAGAACUCUAGAACAUACAGGGUGUAGACGGCAGUCUUCUUGGGGAAAAAGAGGCUUCAGGAUUGCAAGAUUUCAGCUACUGUCUCUCCUCGGAGCAGGAUUCCAUCUUUUCCAUGGCUGGGGCCCUUGACACAUGUCACUGUGCACUGCUCUUCUCGCUGGGGCUUUUUCAGACACUCUGAUCCAGACCACCCCACUGCUAGGAGAGUCUCCUGGUGGGGGACUCUAUUACUUUGCAUGAGGCUACCUUCUCACAUGGCUGCCCUGCUGACACCCCAUUGACUCCAGGGAAGGAAAUGGAAGGCUGAGACAGGAGAAGACAAAGGAAAGAGAGAGGGAAGGAUGGCGGUGGAGAGAAGAGAAAGGGAAAAGACAUUCUUGCUUGGAUCCCUACAGCAUUCCUG